ACUCCUUUCAAAAACAAAUUCUAAUUCUAACGUGUAUAUAUAUAUAUACACUAUAUAUGUAGGAUAUUAUAUUUUAAUUAUAAUUUUUGUAAUAUCUAACUUUUUAACCCUUCUUAAAAAAAAGUAAAAAGAAUUGUAACCCUAAUUCUAAUUUCUAACUAAGGCGCCGCGCCGCUCCUUCAUUUUGAAAUCUGGAAGAAAAAAAAAAACCCCUCUCUUUCUUCUCCACGGACGCUGCGCCUGCAGGCUACACCGGUCCGUCUUCUCCGCUGCGGGCUGCCCGUCGCCACUCGCCAGCAACUAACGUCGCUCGUCUUCAGUCGCCAGCACCCCGCCACGGCGU
rnacentral:lncRNA from 1 species